CCCUUAGAUGUUCUGGGCCGCACGCGCGCUACACUGACGAAUGCAACGAGCUUAUAACCUUGGCCGAAAGGUCUGGGUAAUCUCCAAAUUUCGUCGUGAUGGGGAUGGAUGAUUGCAAUUUUUCAUCUUCAACGAGGAAUGCCUAGUAAACGCAAGUCAUCAGCUUGCAUUGAUUACGUCCCUGCCCUUUGUACACACCGCCCGUCGCUCCUACCGAUUGAAUGAUCCGAUGAAUAUCAUGGAUUGAGGAUUAUAGCAGGUUCGCCUGUCUUGAUCUUCGAGAAGUGAAGUAAAUCUUAUCAUUUAGAGGAAGGAGAAGUCGUAACA
rnacentral:rRNA from 1 species